CUGAAUGGGAGAGGAAAACUAAGGAUACUCCUUGUACUAUUUCUCUCCCAAAUUUAGAUCAUAUUAUUUUAAAAGACCGAAAUGAGGUUAUGAUUCCACCUUUGAAAUUUAAUCAUAAUUAAAAUUUAAAAGGCUUUUAUGCUUUCGGGCUUAGUUUUUAACACUGAUCAUCACUUUCAAUGAGACAUUUUAUAUUUUAUUUGAAAAUAAGCUCUUAAAACAAACGCAAAUAAUAGUCAUUGUCAGUAUAGAAUACCAUCUGUACAUAGAAAUUAAAUAUUACAGUACUUAUCAUUAGAUGAUUACUUAUCUAUUUUCAGCUUUUAAAUAAAAUAUCGUAUUUUCAUUUAUGAGUUCAAAUCAGUGGUUAUCCGAAAUGUGUCUUGUAAAUUUAUUACUAGCGUUCAAUUAUUAGUCUUUGUACAGAAAAUUAAUUAAAGUGUUUGAUGUUGUGGCCUGAUUGACACAUCAGGUUUUCGAAAAUUUGCGAUUGAAGAAGAGAAGUUUAUAAUUAAAAACUCGUCAUUGGAUUAUUGAGGCCCGGUUGCACAAAAGCCGGUUAAAUUUUAACCGUGAUUAAUUUCUCGAGAACCAAUCAGAAAAGGCGUUCUUAAAAAGGCUUCUCUGAUUGGUUCUCGUGAAAUUAAUCACGGUUCAAAUUUAACCGGCUUUGUGCAACUGGCACUUUAUUUAAUUUGGAUAAGAUAGAAUAGUUGGAGAUUAAGCGCCACAUGAAAUUAAUGUUAGACUACUAUGAAGAAAUAUAGAUUGAUUUAUUUUAAUUUAAACAUUUUAUUUUAUAGUUGUGUAUAUUUUUAUUCUGACACAUUCAUAUCAUCCACCAUUUAAAUAACAAUAAGGUUUAAUUUUCCUUUCGCAAUGUCUAAUAUGAACUGUCUAUUUUUUGCUUGUAGAAGUUCUACCUUUCAUUUUCAUGAAUUCCCUUUUAUUUCAGAAUAUUUUUAUAUAAUUUAGAAAUAGCGUAUUAGUUUGUAUUCUCUAACUUUGUAAAAAGUACCUGUUGAAAUCUUUUAGAAUAUGAUGAUUUGUUAUUGUCAAUUUUGUUGUUUAUUUGAAUAAAAAAGUGAUAACUAUGUUCUAAUUUUAAA